rnacentral:rRNA from 1 species
GACGAACCGUGCAAACGUUGUUCGGAAUCACUGGGCUUAAAGGGCGCGUAGGCGGGCCAGCCAGUCUGUGGUGAAAGCCUCCAGCUUAACUGGAGAAGUGCCGUGGAUACUGCUGGCCUCGAGGAGGAUAGGGGCAUCUGGAACGGUCGGUGGAGCGGUGAAAUGCGUUGAUAUCGACCGGAACUCCGGUGGCGAAGGCGAGGCGCUGGGUCCUUUCUGACGCUGAUGCGCGAAAGCCAGGGGAGCAAACGGG